CAAACCAUCUCAUAACAAUCUUAUUCCAAUUCAGAACUUGCAACAUUGUCAGUCAUACUCCACUAAAUUAUUUGAGCUUCAAAAUCAUGAAUCGCAAGAUUGCUAGAGCUCCUGAAGCAGCAAUAGAAGGUUUUAGGGGUACAAAGCCUUUAUCAAGAAGGGGUCAAAUAAAAUCAAGAAUUGCAGUAAAUGCUUUUCAUUCCAUCAUUUCUGUCAAAAGCCUCUUCACAUCAUCAUCAUUAUCAUCAUUCUAUCAGAAAAAGCUAAGAAUAGUGAAUUGGAGAAUCGGUGAUCAAGAGGUCAUGGAUUCAAGUCGUGAAAACGGUCUUUUAUGGAAAAUAUAGGGUAAGGUUGCGUACAAUAAACCCUUAUAGUCUGAUCCUUCCCUGAAUUCUGUGCAUAACUGCAGCUUGGUGCACCAGGUUGUCCUUUUUAUCCAAACAAAUGGUAGUAUUUGUUUCAUUUCUUAUUUUCCUUUUCUAUGCCCUGUAACUUAUUAGAGAGAUGAAACAAUUUUCUGUUAGGAAUGUUGAUAUUUAUCAUGUAGAAAGAUCUCUUUGAUCCCAAAAAAAGGAAAAAGAAUCUUGAUUUCUGCAAAUUAACAAUUGCACUCACCCUUCUUCGUGUGUUUUCAGUUCUCAUAUUGGAUUUAAAAUUUUGAUAUAGGGUAAAUAUGCUGGCUAUAGGUAUAUUAACAAG
rnacentral:lncRNA from 1 species